GAAGAGGGACAGUACACCUGCCAGGCUCAGCCCCAACUGAGCUCCAAACAUGUUUCCUUCAGCCUCUCUGUGCAGAGAUGACCCCCUUCCUGCAAAUGUGUGACUGAGGACUAGCAGGGCUCCUGGCCCCUGGUCCUUACUCUGAUCAGAGGGGACCUCAUGAGGACUGGCUUCCUCCUCAGCUAUGGCCUCACCUGGCUCUACUACACCAGGGGUGGAAACCCCCAGAAAAUGAGGCUGACAGCCUGACUGACCCUCCCUUCUUGUGAAGACGGCACUGAGGUAAGACAUGGAGUCCAGAGGGGUGGUCAUGGGACAUCAGUGUCACCUUCUCCCUGGGAACUCCUGACUCACCUGUCUCAAUUGUACCUUUGGGGUUUUAAUUUGUGUAAGUGACUGAGGAUGACAAGUAGAGUCAACACCAAUGAAAGAACGUUUUUAUUCCUUUCAUUUACUGAGAGGAGGCCCCACAAGGCCAGGCAGGGCCCCGGGGGAAGCACCAGGUUUCAUCAAAGAGCAGAUGGAAGUGGGGGACAGACUAGCCAGAGUCUUAUUGGGGUUUCCAUGGGAAAUGCAAGUCAGGGCAGGGUGAACAGUUGAGGAUCAGCUAGUAUGAAGAAAUGAGGGUUUUCUUUCUU